GACGGGGGGGGCAAGUGUUCUUCGGAAUGACUGGGCGUAAAGGGCACGUAGGCGGUGAAUCGGGUUGAAAGUGAAAGUCGCCAAAAACUGGCGGAAUGCUCUCGAAACCAAUUCACUUGGGUGAGACAGAGGAGAGUGGAAUUUCGUGUGUAGGGGUGAAAUCCGCAAAUCUACGAAGGAAGGCCAAAAGCGAAGGCAGCUCUCUGGGUCCCUACCGACGCUGGGGUGCGAAAGCGUGGGGAGCGAUCCGG
rnacentral:rRNA from 1 species